rnacentral:misc_RNA from 1 species
UGAUGACUGGUUGCUUUGCCACUACAGUUUGCAACGCAUCUCUCUUCUGAAUAUUUACCAACAAAUUGUUGGGAGGGAAGAAAGGUGCUAAGUUCUUAAGCAUUAUUUUGUCCUUUUUGUAUCCUAUAAUUUUUCUAGUGGCAGGUUAGCAUGUUACAUUUUGUUGAGGGAGAAAGAAAGAGGGGGGGUUCUCCUAGCUGUUAAGAGAGCAUGGAAU